rnacentral:rRNA from 1 species
AAAUUGAAGAGUUUGAUCAUGGCUCAGAUUGAACGCUGGCGGCAGGCCUAACACAUGCAAGUCGAGCGGAAACGACUUAACUGAACCUUCGGGGAACGUUAAGGGCGUCGAGCGGCGGACGGGUGAGUAAUGCCUAGGAAAUUGCCUUGAUGUGGGGGAUAACCAUUGGAAACGAUGGCUAAUACCGCAUGAUGCCUACGGGCCAAAGAGGGGGACCUUCGGGCCUCUCG